rnacentral:rRNA from 1 species
GACGAACGCUGGCGGCGUGGAUUAGGCAUGCAAGUCGAACGGUAUAAACCUUUCGGGGUUUAGAGAGUGGCGAACGGGUGAGUAACACGUAGGUAAUCUACCCUCAAAACGGGGACAACCCAGGGAAACUUGGGCUAAUACCGGAUGCGUGCAAGCAAUGUUUUGGCUGUUAAUGCUAUUCACGGAAGUGAGUAGUGUUAAUGGUUGAGAGCAUUAUUUGCAUAAAAGGUGGCAUAUGCUGCCGUUUGAGGAUGAGCCUGCGUCCUAUUAGUUAGUUGGUGAGGUAAUGGCUUACCAAGGCGACGAUAGGUAGGCGGCCUUAACGGGUGGUCGCCCACACUGGGAUUGAGAGACGGCCCAGACUCCUACGGGAGGCAGCAGUCGAGAAUAGUCUACAAUGGACGGAAGUCUGAUAGUGCGACGCCGCGUGAACGAAGAAUCCCUUCGGGGUGUAAAGUUCUUUUAUACGUGAGCAGUGCCCUUUAUAUGAAUAGUAUAGAGGGAGGGAUUUAAGCGUAU